rnacentral:rRNA from 1 species
AGGUUAUGUUCCUAACAAGGCAUCAACGGGUAACGGAGUGUCAGGGCCCGACACCGGAGAGGGAGCCUGAGAAACGGCUACCACAUCCAAGGAAGGCAGCAGGCGCGCAAAUUACCCACUCCCGGCACGGGGAGGUAGUGACGAAAAAUAACGAUGCGAGAGCUUUAUGCUCCUCGUAAUCGGAAUGGGUACACUUUAAAUCCUUUAACGAGGAUCUAUUGGAGGGCAAGUCUGGUGCCAGCAGCCGCGGUAAUUCCAGCUCCAAUAGCGUAUAUUAAAGUUGCUGCGGUUAAAAAGCUCGUAGUUGGAUCUGGGUAGUCGAUGGACGGUGCGCUUUACGGCGUCUACUGUUCGUUCGGCACCACAUGCCGGCCAUGUCUUGCAUGCUCUUCACUGAGUGUGCUUGGCGACCGGAACGUUUACUUUGAAAAAAUUAGAGUGCUCAAAGCAGGCGUUAAGCCUUGCAUAAUGGUGCAUGGAAUAAUAGAAUAGGACCUCGGUUCUAUUUUGUUGGUUUUCGGAACUCGAGGUAAUGAUUAAUAGGAACAGACGGGGGCAUUCGUAUUGCGGCGUUAGAGGUGAAAUUCUUGGAUCGUCGC